rnacentral:rRNA from 1 species
UUUAUUGGAGAGUUUGAUCCUGGCUCAGGACGAACGCUGGCGGCAUGCCUAAUACAUGCAAGUCGAGCGG